AGUGAAUAGAUACCCAGGUAGUCCACGCCCUAAACGAUGAAUGCUAGUCGUCGGGGUACUCGUUACUUCGGUGAUGCACUUAAACAGAUUAAGCAUUCCGCCUGGGGAGUACGGUCGCAAGAUUAAAACUCAAAGGAAUAGACGGGGACCCGCACAAGUGGUGGAGCAUGUGGUUUAAUUCGAAGAUACACGAAGAACCUUACCUGGCCUUGACAUGGUAGGAACCCUUAAGAGAUUAGGGGGUGCUAGCUUGCUAGAACCUACACACAGGUGCUGCACGGCUGUCGUCAGCUCGUGUCGUGAGAUGUUGGGUUAAGUCCCGCAACGAGCGCAACCCUCGUCGUUAGUUGCUAACAGUUCGGCUGAGCACUCUAACGAGACUGCCUUCGCAAGGAGGAGGAAGGUGAGGACGACGUCAAGUCAUCAUGGCCCUUACGGCCAGGGCUACACACGUGCUACAAUGGGGCGUACAAAGAGCUGCAAUACCGCGAGGUGGAGCCAAUCUCUU
rnacentral:rRNA from 1 species